rnacentral:lncRNA from 1 species
GCCCACCUCCAGCCGCCAGCGGGGAGGCGCCCCAGAGCUGCGGAGCUGCAGACCCGCCGACGGUCUCGCGCUCUGAUUUCCUCACCGUAUGAAAUGAAAUUCCACAGGGGGAUUCGAAAGGAAAUGAGACCGGGACUCUCCGUGCUUCUCGGCCCGCCGCCCUUCCUGUCUCGGGGACACGGUUUCUAAAUAAGGUUGGGAGGGUGAGAGGGCGGGAGGGGAGAGGCUUGACCUGUGCACUGGGGACGAGGAAGGCGCACAACCACCGUGACUCCUCUCUCCCGGCCUCCCGGGCACCCCCUCCCCACCAGGCUGCACCCCUUUUUUUCUUUGCUUCUGCUUCGGCUCCUAGGGAUCUGGGGAUCAUGUGACCCAGGUUUGAACCCAACUUUCCUGUCUCAUUACCAGCCCCCCGCGGCUUUGUGCUGGUCCACCCUCUCUCUGCUUUCCAGUCGGCCAGUAAACUCCCAGCAGGUGGAUUCCUCCAC